rnacentral:rRNA from 1 species
AGCCACAGCCAUAUCACACAGCAGACCAAGAAUGGUAACUCCCUGAAGCUAAGCAGGGCUGAGCCUGGUCAAUAUCUGGAUGGGAGACCACAUAGGAAAACUAAGUUGCUGUUGGAA